UGGGGAAUUUUGGACAAUGGGCGAAAGCCUGAUCCAGCAAUGCCGCGUGUGUGAAGAAGGCCUUCGGGUUGUAAAGCACUUUUGUCCGGAAAGAAAUCCUUGGCUCUAAUACAGUCGGGGGAUGACGGUACCGGAAGAAUAAGCACCGGCUAACUACGUGCCAGCAGCCGCGGUAAUACGUAGGGUGCAAGCGUUAAUCGGAAUUACUGGGCGUAAAGCGUGCGCAGGCGGUUUGCUAAGACCGAUGUGAAAUCCCCGGGCUCAACCUGGGAACUGCAUUGGUGACUGGCAGGCUAGAGUAUGGCAGAGGGGGGUAGAAUUCCACGUGUAGCAGUGAAAUGCGUAGAGAUGUGGAGGAAUACCGAUGGCGAAGGCAGCCCCCUGGGCCAAUACUGACGCUCAUGCACGAAAGCGUGGGGAGCAAACAGGAUUAGAUACCCUGGUAGUCCACGCCCUAAACGAUGUCAACUAGUUGUUGGGGAUUCAUCUCCUUAGUAACGUAGCUAACGCGUGAAGUUGACCGCCUGGGGAGUACGGUCGCAAGAUUAAAACUCAAAUG
rnacentral:rRNA from 1 species